rnacentral:rRNA from 1 species
GAUGAACGCUGGCGGCGUGCCUAUUCAUUCAAAUUGAACGAAACAAACAAGGACUUUCCUCCUUGACCUUUGCGGGCGGCCGGUUGAGUACCACUUGGUAACCUUCCUUUAAAACCUGGAUUACUUCGGGAAACCGGGGGCAAUUCCGGGUUAUUUUUUUAACCCCCUUGUUUCAUUGUUAAAAGCGGUUUUUCUGUUACUUAUUGAUUGAUUCCGCGCCGCAUUAGCUAGUUGGUAAGGUAACGGCUUACCAAGGCAACGAUGCGUAGCCGACCUGAGAGGGUGAUCGGCCACACUGGAACUGAGACACGGUCCAGACUCCUACGGGAGGCAGCAGUAGGGAAUCUUCCGCAAUGGGCGAAAGCCUGACGGAGCAACGCCGCGUGAGUGAUGAAGGUCUUCGGAUCGUAAAACUCUGUUAUUAGGGAAGAACAAAUGUGUAAGUAACUAUGCACGUCUUGACGGUACCUAAUCAGAAAGCCACGGCUAACUACGUG